UACGGGGGGGGCAAGCGUUGUUCGGAAUUACUGGGCGUAAAGGGCUCGUAGGCGGCCAACUAAGUCGGACGUGAAAUCCCCAGGCUCAACCUGGGAACUGCGUCUGAUACUGGAUGGCUUGAAUCCGGGAGAGGGAUGCAGAAUUCCAGGUGUAGCGGUGAAAUGCGCAGAUAUCAGGAGGAACACCGGUGGCGAAGGCGGGUCUCUGGGCCGAAAUUGACGCUGAGGAGCGAAAGCGUGGGGAGCAAACAGG
rnacentral:rRNA from 1 species